GCUGGUUGAUUGAUCCUGAUCACGACGCCGUCGGUGACGUGACGGAGGCAGGCGAACAGCUCCAACAUGCCGACGCAGCCGAUCAGUAUCGACAUCAUUAAGCCCAUCUCGAAAAGCGUUCUUGGAUUUUCCAAUGAAAAACGAUAGACUAUGUUACGUCACGAACUCGACACGUCAAAUACCCAUACAGUUGGCGGUGCUUCAUCCUAUCGUUGUUUUUCGCGAGCUCGCCGCUCUUCGGGAGCAUAGAAGGAACCGCUCCAGGAUGAUCUACGAGAGAAGUCCUCUCGGAAACAUAUACCGGAAUUCCUCGAUCUCGGAGAGCGAAGGGAAUCUCGGUGAUGUGCGUGCUACAUCCAUAAGAUAUCCUCGGGAUCUCGACCGAAUUCUUGGUGUCACUCGGGUAAUCCUCUGGGCUGACGUCACACACCCGGGGGACGAAAGAGAGGAAAGAGACGAGACGAGAAGUUAAAACGACUUCCUAGGGGGGGCACCCACCACCCACGCGCACCCACUGGUCCACAACGGUGGCGUAGCCCGUUUAGCAGGCUGAAAGGCGUCGCGGGCCCUGACCGAGCGGCACGUACUCGAGGAGGCGGUGAUCACACGAUUAUCGGCUUAUCCAUGCGGCCGGAUGGCGGCCAGAGAACUGUUUUAUUUUCCGUGGGCAAACCGUUCGGACCCGGGGUAAACUAGUGGCCGUUCGGCUCGUUAUGUCGACGUAACGUUCGACUUGAGGAGCGAACCGUGGCUAAGGCUAAAGUUAGCUCGAAUGUCCCUGGACGCGAAUCUCUGUCCUUAAUGCAGCGUACGCGUCGCGAUCGAUCACUCGCCCGAGAUAAUUAACGGAGCCCGAUUUGGCAGUCGCCGCGUGCGACGUCCGAUCAUCGGUCGCGCGAUUAAUUGCGAUCGAUGCCGAGCUCUAAUGAGCCAAUCCGUUAACCAUCGUUCCUCGUCGCGUUCGGAAACGUUGGCGCGGGGGCGUCGUUUCGAUAUCUGUACGACGUCGCGACGAGAGAACGAGAGUUUGGCACCUUUGGUCGCGAUCGUUUCGCAAAAACGAACGAUUCGCAGCUUGCGACUUGAUUCGCGUCCAAGCGCAUCUUUAAAAUCGAUCAUACAGCAACUAGCACGGUCUAUGCGAGCUCUAGUCGCCGUUCUUUUCGUUUACGUCGUCCUAUCUUUCGUAGCGGAACUUUCGAGCGAGAGAAAGUUUCCAGGAUUCAAGUUCAAUUGCGGCGUGACCUUUGAUCCGUUACGUCGAUCAAUUAACCCAAUCCCAUUCAUCGUUGCGCUCUCUCUUUCUCUAUGUUCGUUCGAACUCGACGGAGCUGCGGCGUGGAAAUUCCGGCUUGUUUACGUGGCCGAGAUGCGCGGCCGAAUUUCUGGCGUUACUCGGACGACUUUAUUUCGGUUACCUCAUCGGUUACGAAUCAACGAGUCGAGCCGAUCUUCGAUACACGUUUUGCGCGCGGUACGUCUCUCUGGCGCACGUCCAAACAAAUAUCGAAACACCCAACGUCCAGCUUAUCGAACUCUCGAUGAUCUAUAUUUGCGCCGUACCGCAACACUGUCCGAUUGUUCCUUAAAAAUCGUUUAACUUUGUUUGUAUGCUUUUCGUCCGACCGUACCGCCGUAUGGAAUAAGAUGAUAGAAAUCGAUAGGCUAGGAGAAAAAACGCGAUAAAGUUUCGAAUUGCGUAUCACGGUAGCGUAUGACGCGUAAACACGCGCGUCACGAUGGCGUCAGUUUCCAUAGCACGAUUUAUCGAACACGAUCCGCAGGAAUAAAUUGAUUUACGAUUACGUUUCCCGCACAGGGAACACCGCUGGUUAUGCAAAACGACUGCGUCACGUUCGUUUGAUCUGUCGUGUAAAUACGAAGAAGUGGACGCAGCGAUUCCGUGUGCUUUUCUUUCGCAAUGAUCGAAAGAGCGCUGUUUGGAUUAUGAGUAUCUUUAUUUCCGGAGCUAAAAGAGGAUCCAAGGAACGAACGAGAGCUUUGCCCUCUGCCUCUCUCGAUACUUAUCCAUCGAAUCUAUUUCUAACGUUAGACAGGAUUUUUCGUGUAAUUUGUAUAGUUAAUCGAGUGGAACGACUUCUGAAUGGAAAGCGUCAAAGAUACGAUAAGCAGGCGCAAGGUUAUCGCUCUCUGCCGGAAAGAAGAUCUCGACGUCUCAUGAGGUUCCUGCUGCUGUCGAACAGAAAGCUGGCCGCGUGAUCGAUGGUCGAAUCAUUUCGUCCACACCUGGCACUCGAACGAGUAAAUAAAUCAUCGACGAAAAUAAAAUUCCGUCCUCCUCGUCCUAUCUAGUUUCCUUGUGUAUUUACAUCGGGAAACGACUCGAAACAACGUAGCGACAAUCGUGGGUCGCGACGAUUAAUAUUCUGAUUGACGAAACGUUUCUGCCAGCGAAACUGCGCUCGUCGCGUUGUUUUCACGACAUAGUUCCAAACUUCCUUCCCCGGUUGGAUUUGCAAGGUUACGGUUUUCUAGUCACGAACCAUGGAAUUAAUUUCUCGUUUAUGAAUCGUUGGUUUGGCAAACAGUCGUGGUUGGACCUUGACCCCUUCCGCUCAUGGAUCGACUAGAAAUCGUACACGGUUGGUUCCGCGGAACAGCGAAACGAAUCGAAUCGACGUUCGUUCGAAAUGGUAGAACGUGAAUCGAUCUGAAAAUGCGGCCGUAGAAGGCGCGACAUUCCACGGUCGUGGCGAAGGGUCGAAAUUAGUCGACCCGAUUGCCACGAAAGCCGGUUCUUCUGGAGGGAAACGGAACAAUGCCAAUGUUAUUUCGGUCGAUGAUCGAACGUGUGUGCCAUGGUCGGAGAAAAGCGUGCCACCGGAUCUCUACGAAGUCAUUUCGCGAGCCGACCGAAUUAGACCGCUGAAAACUUUGCAGCCGUUCCCACUGUUCCUAGGACGACCCUUCGUUCCACCUUGUGUCAGGUGCAUGGAAUCUUUUGCUCAACGAGCACGCUUCCACCUUGCGGCUUAGCGUUAGCGGCUCGACCACGCUUCUGUAACCCUCUCGAAUAGUCUUUGGAUCAAAGAUUAAUAUCCGAACGCACACGGCUAUUUUUCUACCUUUUGCAUCGUUGCUCGGAUCGAAAUUGAUUCUGAUCUUACGCGAAACUUGGACCAGUCGAGUAAAGAACCGAGUAUUGUCAGUGGGGAAAUAAAAUGCUAAAUACAAAAGUUGCGAUCUUAGCUUGCCAUCGUAUUAUAUCGAAUGUCCGUCGCGCAGGCGCCCGCGUGUUUACGCGAAAUAGGUUGAUGCGUACACUUUUUUCGAUAAUCGCUCCGAGAAUAGCCAACCUUCGACGCUGUAUCGACCAUCGUGUUUAUUUUCCACGAUUUCUUGCGUGGAAACUUUGCCUUUAACUGUCUCCGAUGCUCGAAAUCGAUCGUCGCGGCUCAUUUUGGAACCGGUCGAUACGCGAAGAACGCUGUAGCAGCAGGGAAGCGGUCAAGUGCAAAGACCUAAACAGAAUGUUAGUCGUGCAGCUCUCUGUUUCCACGACUUAUCGUCCAAGUUGCUCGGAUUUCGUUUAAGUAUUUUUGACGAAUGAACGCGGCUCCGGUGACCUGAAUUCGCGUCAUUCAUCUUCGCGUUGCAACAGCAAUGCGCUAUUUUCGAAAUUGCUCUCGUACGCGGCUUCUAGUCCGAACGAUCGAUUCCGUUUGCUGUAAUAUACUCCGAAGCGCUCGCUCGAUGAAAUUUUAAAGAAACAUUAAUUGCUUUCGGAAAAGACUUUUAUCCUCCGAAGCGAAACUUGGAUCGAAAAGCAACAACGGGUGGCUUAUAUAUUUUGUCAUCGAUAGAUGAGAAAUGAAUUGUCGCUAUCCCUUAGGAUGCGCUUGACAGCGCAAAUUGCGGGACGACGUAAAAUACGAAGCGUCUUGCUGUUCGCUUUUCCAUUCGGAACGUUCUUUCGUUUUCUAGCUGCGACGAUCGAGCAGUGUAUCCGAUCGAUCAGAAGCUAUCCCGUAGCGUUCCUAGCGCGAGCUAGAACGGUCGAGCGUUCGAGGAUGCACGCUCGCGGGUCAAAUGGAGGCGCGAGAGACAAUUUUUGCGCAGCAGACGCGUAGUACGUGAACCACGACGCUCCCGAAAUAGACAACGCGGUAGAAUUUUACGACGGCGACGCUAUAACGGUUUGUUGCGUCACUGUUACGCCACGCUUUUCUAUAAAGGCCGUUUGUUUCCCGUCGGAGGCUCAGACCGUCUUCCGAAAUGAUCGUCGAUGAUGCUCGAGUCUCGCGCUUCUAAACCUGUCACGUGCUUUUUAUCAGAAAUAUUCGCAAGCUUGCCGACGCUCUCGCCGAAGUUCCUUACGAGAUUCUAUCGAGAUCCGGUUACGAUUACGUUGGCCGUACGCCCGAAUUCGAACUGGGAGGGAACAAUGCGAAUGUUCGUUGGGUGUUUCUGUAUUUUAUUGUCAGACAGAGUGAAAGACUAUUGAUCGUCGAUCGACGAAAGGCUAUUGAUCGUCGAUCAAACGAGUCUUUUGAGGAUCGAACGUUGUCCUCAGCGGGUAGUGGCUCGUGUGUGGCUGAGUGUGACUCGUUUCACUUACCGAAACUAGAGACCACUGCUUUUACUGCUGCAGGAAAGAUCAAAGACGAUCGCGAAGAUCCGAGAACGCGAAUCAAGAGGACGGGAAACGCGACUAGAUUCGAUCGAAGAGGGUUGGUCGAUUAUUCUCGCGGUUUGCUAGGCCUUUCGUUCGCCUCCAAUUGACUGACUCUAAUAAAAGACGGGAACGGUUCUCGGUGUCUGGACACUACGCGAUCGUGGUGGGAGCUUCGACAAGAAAUCAAAAUAGAUUACCGACCGGCCGCAGGUACGAUUAAUAGGGUUUCCGGUUGGAAGAAAACCAAUUCAGACGUGUUAGAGAAACGAGAAAGGUGGUAACAAAUUGUAACAGCUGAAGCUUUGUAGCUUCUCGAGUUAGCCGCGUUCCAGAGGAACCAUCUUUCGUUCGCAUAGAAGUUUUUCGAUUCUGAAAAACUUCGGUUUAGUACUGUCACAGUUUGACUUAAUAAAAGAGAAAAAGAUGAAACAUC